AUACAACGCGCGCCGUCACCGGUUCUUCUCGGAACGUUCGACAUUGAAUCAAAACUUAAAUGCCCGAGUACUAUUCUAUGAAAUUAUUGACUGCCAAUGAAGACCUACAUAGAUAUUUAAACAACGAUUUAGUACCGUUGAGAUUCUGUCAAUCUUAUUUCGUUAUAUUGGCAACGACAAUGUCAUUAUAGCAUGGAGUGGAAGGCGCCGUCUGUGUGCAUAUACAAAAACGAAAACUGACUCGAAUAAGGUUAAGGUAAAGCAAUGGUUGCUGCACUGAUAUGCCAUCUUUAAUUAACACCUCGCCAAACAUACUCGAUAUGUACUACAGAAUUCUGAGUGUGGCGCAAUUACGUCAUUAGUCGUCGACCGAGUCUACAACGCCCUACAUUGCACAGGUAUCCAUAUAUCGUCAGUAACGGUAGAGGGUGGAUCGAACGGGUCAAUGACCGUUCCCUGUGCGCAAACAGUCGCGACGCCAUCCAGACUUUUAAUGUCUACAAUUCUGUACGUCAUGUAAACGUAUAACCAUAAACUAGUAUGUUUUUCUUUUUUAAAUAAGGGUUUUCGAAAUUUAAACAAGCUUUGUAAUGUAUACAUACGUUUUACUAUCA